UAGUAUCUGGCCAGCGUGAGCACAGUCAUGACAUCAUUUUGUGGGGUUCAAACGCGGAGAUGAUGUCAUUAAUUUUUGAAUUUUCCUAGAAAACGAGCAGCAUUGUAUUUGUAUGCGAAUUGUUUCUUGGUUUGAAUUCGGCACUUUUUUAGAUCGUUUUUUAUACGAGUAAAAUUGCGGUAAAUUACUCAUCUACGGUUAACAAUCGACCGAUAAACAAUCGGAAUAAUAAGUAAUUACCGUUCAUCCUUAAUCGUAUUCAUUGUUCUGGCUUUAAGCUCCAAAACUUCAAGUGGUCACAUCACUCAAAAGUGUAAAUCUGGAUUUGUUGAUUGGUUUUCCUUUAUUGGAAUAUUCCCGAAGAGCGGAUCAAACCAAAAGACAUCCAACAUUCUCAGUUCUUCAGCGUAUUUGAGAUUGAAGUCCCAAAACUGCUCCUCAUGUGACAGCUCAUAGCCGAACGCUUUGAACAUGAUGAAGGCCGGCGCCACCAAACGCCGACAGCUUCCCUUAACCUGAUACAUAUCCGCAAGCUCCAGAACCUCUUCCGCAUAUUUUCCCAUGGACGGACAUUCACCCGUGUACGCAAAAAUCAGAAACUCCAUGACCACAUCCAGGGAAAACUUCCGAAUGACCGCUUGGUUCUCGUUGGUCUCGCGGCUGCUAUGCUUAAGCAUAGCGUCAAAGUAAUCCGAGCACAGCGCCAGAAUUUUCUUCUCACACCGCAACACCGUUCCGUCCUCCAGCAGCAAGGUGAAAUUCCCAGAAUCCGGGUCACGCACUAACUGCCGGUACUUCUCCAUCAGCAUCCGUAGUCCCGUGUGAUUUUGCACAUCAAUUUUCUGAUCGCGCAUAAUAAUGCGGAGGAUGUCGGCUUCCCGCAACGCCGGCAUAACCACGAUAUCCAGACGCAGGGCCGUGUCGCCGCUGAAUAUCGGAUGUGUGGUCCAGGCGUCCUGUGGCAGACAGAUCAGUGUACUGCUCCGGCCGAAACUACUGGUGUUCAUCGUGUAAUACGAGUCCAGCAUAUCGGGGCCGGUGGAGACCAGCGGCAUUUCCUCUCCCUCGAACUCCAUCAUCCACAGCCCGUCCAGGGUGGAGAGUUUAAAUUUCUUCACACGGAUAUGACUGUCCACAUGGGCUAGACUGCAGCGUAAAUGGUAACGUGGCCGUUCUUCAAUGUCGUUUUCAAACUGGCAUCCAGCGCAGGGGAUAUCGUAGCUCGCUUAAAAAUUGCUUCGUAUCAGAAUUCAGGUUUAAGAACGUCGAAAACAAAAGGAUAUAUAGAUAUGCUAUUUUACAUUUUCUGUAACAUAGAAUUUUACCAAAAUGAUAUUUUCCGAAUCUAGCUAGCAACGGCAAAUUGGACGUUAUGCUUCUGUUAAUUUUUCGACGUGCCAAAAUUAUUUCGAGUGCAUUACUGACACUUUAUUGCAGUACUCUAACAGUUAGAGUACUGCAGUAAGUUAGAGUCUAACUUAUUUCGAGCUGUACAUGCGGUAGAUAAACGAAAUGCGAUUAUUCAUCACAAAAGUAAAUCUCCACUGAAUAAUCUGCCUACUGCUGCAAAAUUUAUCGUAACUAAUAAGAAUUGUAAUCGAUUAAAAUUAAUCAAAAUAAUUAUGAAUUAUACUGGACCGCAAGACAAUUUUAUCAAAAAAAUACCGCUUCACUGUUCAGGUGUUCCGUACAAAAACCCAAACACCACAACAGUUUCAUAUGGCACAAAAGCUUAAGCAAUAUGUGGUAGCUUCCGCGAACGAAUUUCGUAAUAAAUUUCGAAUCCUGAACUAGUAAAUGAUUUUAAAAAAUAACUGCAAAAUACUUAAAAUCUCAAGGUACGAGUAUUCACAAUCAAUAAAAUUGCUAUAAGCUGUUGAAAUGCAUAUAAACAAGGAUAACACAAUUAAGUAACUGAAACACAUGAGUACAUAAUUUGUUUAUGUACAUUCUUGAAUAAUAUGUGAAUGACUGAAUGCAUUGUAUUACUCUGAACUAAAAACUUAUCUUACCAAUAACAUCAAGUUCCACAUACCAACAAGUUCGAUUGACCAGCGGACUGCCGCUGUUUAGACAGACCGGGCCAUGACCUCGGUACGGUCGAUCCGGUAUCAGACGACUGUUGUAGCCCUCAUCCGGGAUAAUGCUUAGAGAAACCAUUUCCGGUCCUUGAUGCAUACCAGACCAGUUAGCACUGUAAGUAUGAAUCAGUUGCCGCCAAGGUUUCAGUUCCUCUUCCGAAUAGUCUGGAAAGUACGAAAACAGCGUUGCAGCUUUCCGGACAGCGGCGUCACGCUGGUCGCCUGCGCAGGUAUGUGGAAAUGACAAAGCUGCAGACAUGCGCGGUAUUAAACUGCAAUGAAAAACAAUUUGAACUCGUAGCGUUUGUUCUAAGAGUGAAAUUUGUGUUACUUUUUGCCGGUAUGUUGAUUCCGUAACUUUGCCGAAAACAUAAAGUUCCCAAAGUCAAAUCUCGCCAUAGAAACGCUUAGCUUAUACAGAUAUUGUCAGCACGGCCAAGAAUUCCAAAUAUUCUACGUUUGCAGUUAACUUCAGAGCUUUAAUUAAUCAAAAAUACAAAAACCAUCUUAAAAUUUAUUCAACCUAAAAAAUUAACAAGGUGAAUUAUAGGUGCCCUUUGAACGAAUUAAGAUUCUAGCUAUAGAGCGCAGUGACGUAUGCCGUUAACAUUUAUUCCUAUAGAACGUAGUCGAUGCUUAUACCGCAAAAGAUCAAAACUUUGGUGCAUAUAACUUAGUUUUUAAUAUACCAGCGGCAACACGGUAAUGACUUUGACAACUUCAGAGAUCAAACUUUAAUUACACGUUUGCUCAUAACCAUAACCGUAUAAGACAAUCAUCUACUCUAGUUGGCGUGCUUCAACGAAGAGCAAAAUAUUUCUACGGGCCAUAAUACGCGUUACGUUUAAUUUACGUAAUUUUAUUGACCUAAAUAAGCGAGUAAUUAUGUGCACAAGUGCAACCACCAAUCGCACCGAGAAUUUUUGAAAAAAUCUGAUCUAAAUCUUGUAUGUAAAUUCAGCACAGGACUAAUAACUGCUGUUGGAUCGGAUUGCUUGUGAUAUCGUAUCUUCAUUAGUGGUGGACAGCUGAUUCGUACUUCUUCCGUGAUCAACGGAAAACGCUAAUAUAUUUCAAUCAAGUCUUAUACAGCAAGCGUAAUGCAAUAAUCGUUGUCAUAUUCAACUGAAUUGUAGACCAUACUGGAUGCAAGCUGCUCGAACGCCAUUGUGAGCGUGCAAGCCACUCUGUUAGAUUAACUGAAAAACUUCUACAAAGAUCAGUGACCACAACGAUCGAAAUAAUUGUUUCAUAACAGGCAGCGUCGUACAUUCUUGAACCUGACUGUGCCGUUCACCUCUACGAAAAAUAUCCAUGUGCAUCGCAAAG